UUAUCCAAGAAGGGUUGUCAAUGGCGCACCCGUAGGGGCUUUCAGGAGCAGCAGAGCCUGCCUGUAUGCCGCACUUGUCUCUGACAAAGCUGGGUCUCUCCACACAUCAGUCACAUAAUCCCCAAAGCCCUUUCCAGACAGGGUCUGAAUUAGCUUGCUUGUUGAGUCCACAUAUCAUUGGUCUCAGUGCCUCCUCGGCUCCAGCAUGUUAUAUGCAUGUCCACUAGAGCAAUCCUCAUGUUAUACUGUGGCUUGUGUUCUUUUUAUCUGACUGUUAGACUAUGGACAGCUGGAAGGCCCAACCGUGUCUUAUUUAAUUUUGUAGAAUGACACCCCUGAAGGCUUGACAUACUCUAGGAGCUCAGUAGAUGCAGCUGAAUCAAUUAAUUCAUGCGCCUUUACCCCGAUGUGCUCUUCAAUGUGUGUUUCCUUCCUCGGCAAUGCAAAGAGUCCUGUAAGAGAGUAGACUGAGGAGUCAGAAGAGCAAGGUUGACUCUACACAGCUCUGGUCUUUGGAAGAAGGACUCAGUGACUAUGGAACUUGAAGUUGGAAGAAUGGAGAGCCUUUGUCCUGGGGACUGGUACUUCUGGAAUGUUGGCCACAUGAGUAACCAUGGAAACUGUGUAUUUUGGGUAGCAUCAAUUCCAUGAGGUGUUCAAGAUAAAAGUGUUGUGUGCCAGUGAACUCUGACAAUGCUGCAAACUCUUUCUCUUGGAAAGUAACAGUAUCACUGCUAUGGGGCAAUCUUCAGAGACACUGUAAGGAAGAGUCUUGGAAUGUCUUGGAACAGUGCUUUGGAGGAGUAGAGGGGAAGAAGACUUCAGCUGCAGAGUCUCCACGGAGCAAGCCGUCAAGGUCCAGAGGCAGAUGGGAGCAAGUGUAUCUGGAGAGAAGACAGAGUGAUCCUGGUGGAAGGACCAUCUAGAGAAACAGUAAAAAUGAAGACCAAGGAGGCAGUCAUGCAUGGAGUGUGUAUUGAAGUGGACAUAGAGCGCAGAGCAUGGGACAAGGGGUAUAUGAAUGAGGUGUCCUUGACAUGUGGCUGAAUCCCAAGUCCACAUCCCUGUGAGGAAACCUCUAUCAACAGACUGCUCAGCUGACCCAAGAACCGCAGAAAAUUACAGACUUAGGAAAAUGGGCCUGUGAUGGAAGAGUGCUCCGGUCAACCACAGCUGGCUCCAGGACCCCAGCGAGUUAGUAAACAUCUGUCAGGCUCAGGCUGAAGACGUGCCUGCCUUGCAUUGUUUUCUCCAAGCUGCCUCACUAAGGAAUCAUUCUCUUUAUCUCUGCAAAUAUUUUCCUGGACUUUCUCUCUCCUUUGGUUCCUGCAAGCUUUCAUCAGCUCUUCCAAUCCUGUCCUCAAGAGCAUCAGGUCGAAGCAUCCAAAGAAAUGACGACUCAGAGAGGGCAGCAGCCUUGCUGAGAUUCACAGACACAUUGUCCAGCCCCUUCUCUGCACAUCUUCUCUAUGGUGUUGAGUUGGCACUACAUCUUAACAUCUCAUCUCCUUGAUGAUGAGGAAGGAAGACACGGCAAAAAAGAGGGCAAAUUGCCUCUACUUCUGAAUGCCUGUAAACCACCCUGUUGACUACUUGGAGUUCUGUACCCCAAAAGGUACACAAUAGUCUCAGAAAUGAAUUAAGUCCUUUAGACCUUCGAGAAAUUGGAGUAUUCUGCCAGCUACAUCAUCUGCCAGUGUUGAUGAUCCAAUUCUUUUCCUCAUUUGUGCUUUAACACCAAUGAUAUGAACUCUGCAGAUGGAAUGGUGAUUCUAGUCACAUGCAGAAAGCCUUGGAUGUGUUUAAUUUCCUGCCACACUCUGUGACAAAGAACUAAUUUCAUGUCUUAUGAUCAAAUAACUGUAACUUUGCAGGAGCACAGUGUGUUGGAAUAGGGACACUCAGGGUCCUUGUGUGGCUUGGGACAUUGCCAAGGCAGCAAUGGGGUCUGAAUGUUUUUAUUUUAUUCCUGCCUUAUUGCUGUGCCUAAUUCUCCCAUUUCAAAAUGUCAUGGAGUAGGCUGGUGUCAUUUGUUUUCAUAAAUUAAUGUCUAUGGCAAUUUAUGGCCAGAUGGACCCUGAGAAAUAAGAGCCGUGUGUGUGUGUGUGUGUGUGCGCGUGUAUGUGUGUUGGAAGGUCUAAAGAAAAGCAGUGGGCAAUGGGCAGGGUGAACUUUUGCACUUAGUGCUUCAUUCUGUGGAGAGAGCAAAUACUUGUGAAAAAUCAUGUUUUAUAACAGCUGGGCACAAAGGACCCCUUAUUCAGAUUCAUUUUUGCCACUGCCUCUUAUUCCUCUAGCAACUAGAAAAAAUGUAAAUAUCCUGAAUUCUUCUCACUGGGAAGCCCUGUGCAAUAGAGAGCAGAUUUCACUCUGCUGGGAAAUCGGAGGUCCAGAAUCUGAAUUUUCUGGCGACAGUGCCUCAGCCAGCUGAGGUGAGGGCUGUGGUGCACACUGGGUCAUGGCACAGGAAGACUGGGCCCAGCACGUGCAUCUCUCCUUUUUGCUACUCCUUCAUGGAUCAAUGAGAAGAACUGGGUCACUGGGAGAAACAGAGAAAAGGGAAAACUAUUUAAAACACAGCAGAGAAUUUGAUGAUUCUCUGAUUCUAAGAAACCGUGGCUGCUGGGAAGCUGAAAUCAGAGGUGGGCUUGGCAGCAGCCAAAGAAAAGACUGCCUGGCCCCUGUGAGCAUCCAGGGCCCACGUGUGGCAGGAUGCACCUCCUCCUGCUAGGGCCCUGCCUUGGGGCACGCAGAAGGCAAGACUGGACAAGAGCCAUUUCCUGAGCCAUGUUAACAGAGUUUUGUGAUUUGGGCAAGCCACACAGAUUUCUGAUUAAUUUCUUUCCUAGGUAAAACAAAAUGUUUAUUUUUCACUUUAUGUUUGUGCGGGAGCAAACUGUUGAAAUCUUUACUUAAUGUAUGCUAAACUGAUCUUUUGUAUAUAAAGAGAAUCGAAAAUGAAUCCUCAUGUGAAUGGAAGGGGAGAGGGAGUGGGAAAGGGG